rnacentral:rRNA from 1 species
CCUACGGGUGGCAGCAGUGAGGAAUAUUGGUCAAUGGGCUUACGCCUGAACCAGCCAAGUCGCGUGAGGGAAGACUGCCCUAUGGGUUGUAAACCUCUUUUGUCAGGGAGUAAUUGGCGCCACGUGUAGCGUUUUCGAGAGUACCUGAAGAAAAAGCAUGGGCUAACUCCGUGCCAGCACCCGCGGUAAUACGGAGGAUGCGAGCGUUAUCCGGAUUGAUUGGGUUAAAAGGGUGCGUAGGCGGAAUGCCAAGUCAGCGGUAAAAUUUCGGGGCUCAACCUCGCAUCGGCGUUGAAACUGGCGUUCUUGGGUGGGCGAGAAGUAUGCGGGAAGCGUGGG